UCUGGGCCUUCAAUUCUUUAGCUUAUAGGAAAACCUGCAGAUUCUUAGGGGUGACUGGUGAUGGGUGUGGGGCCCCCAAGUAUGACUGCCUGCUUAUGGGUUUGCACUGUCAGUUUUCAUAUCAAGUAUCUCUAAUCUUGGUCCUCACUGAAAGGUGUCACAUAGAUUCAGCCUGACUUGCAGGUAGCCAUCACCACCAUGACUGCCCCUUUAUGAUGCUGGUCAGCUUUUCCCCAUGUCAUAAAGCCAAUGGGAGAGGGAUAAGGAGCCUGGGAGCCAAGCUAGAGUUGGUCGUCAUGGACCUUGUAGUGAUCACAAAUUCAACCCUGGACAGGCUUGGCCUCUGAGGCUGGUUCUGGUGGGGCUGUGACAUCCUCACUCUGGACGUGUGAAGCGGCUUUCCUGCUGUGCUGAGUCCGGUCAAGGAACAUAAACCUUUCCAGAAUUUACGGAUUGUAAAUACUCGAGUGUUUCAUCAUGACUGGCCCACUGCAGACAUCACAUGGCAUGGAUAGAGUCCCAGCCUGCGCUUCACUGAAAUAUGCUUGGCCUAGAGGCUUCCGCUGAGAGAUCGGGAAGGAAGCUAUUCCUCUGCCCCACGGACUGCGUGGCUCACCCCUCAGAGAGCAGCGACUGGUUCGUGGAAGUGCAUGAACUUAACCCACAGCUGUCUUCAGGCUAUGUGCUUCAAAGCCACCAGCCGUUCUUCCCAGGAGCCACAGGAGACAUUUGCAGCAAGGGAGUGAAUGUGUAAUAUUUUAAAAUUCUCUGUGACAAGUUCUUCUUGGUCUUGAAAUUAUGUGAUUGCUUUUUCACAUUUCUAUGCUACAACAAGAAACACCUGCCUCUCGGUAGACAAAUGGAAUGAAAGAUGUGACCAGAUACUUCUUGCCCUAAGGAGAGUGAUCUGGGUUGGCAGCCUGCUGUGCUUUGCUCAGCCACCUGGCGGUGCUGGCAGAGGGUCACUGCAGGCAGAAGCCCCACCAGGGCAGCCUGCCUCCUCCAGAGACAGAGGGGCCAUCUAUGUCACAUAGGAAACCUCGGAAUGCAGGAAAUGCUGAAAAUUACAGCGACCUCUUCUUCAAGGACAUGAUCAGGCCUGUGCCACUCUGGAGUGACAGCCACGCGAACCAGGAGUUCCCCAAUCCCAGGUGCUUAGAGAGGUGACACAGAAGGCUAGCCUGGUGUCCCAGGUCUCAAGCCCCACACCUGAAGUCCUGCCCCCUUGUUACAUCUCUGAGAGCACAAUGGAAACAUCUCUGGCUCCUCUGCAACCGCCUCUCCUACAUCCCAUGUCGCCUGGUGGGCUCAGAACCAUGCCUGUCUGUGAGCUGCAUUUGCUUUGUGGAACUGCAGUGGGAUUCAGCGCGUCUACGGAUGUGGGAUAUGUCCUCGGUUGGUACGCACCUCUGGCUGAGCAAGCAGGCAGUCACAGCUCCCCAGGUGGCCCCUCUGCGGCUCUCUCCCCUGGCCUCACCACAGU